ensembl:lncRNA
AAGCUGAGCCGCAAGAAACGAAACAAAGAUGUUCUUUCUUGCUUUCUUUUCUUCCUUCCUUCCUUUCACCAUCUCUGCAUUAAUUCUGUUGUUCGGUUGCUCUGGUGACCGCUAAUGGCGGCUGGUUUGUGUCGGACACGCCGUGCAUUUUAACUGAGAGAGAUACCGUAAGAGGAAGGCUGGAAUACAACAUGGAAACAGGAGAAAGGCGGAGGGAAAAAACAGCUAAUUGACAUUUUGAAGAAUGCAGGAGAGAGAAGGGAACACGUUGGUGUUUAUCCAGAGCAGAAGAUGACGAACGAGUGAGAAGAAAAGAGAUGAAAAAGAUGCUGACAGGAUGAAUGCUGGCUGGAUGAACCUGUCGGUGUCUGGUUGGCUUGCAAACAGGCUACAGGAGGAGUCCUACGAGGACGAGCCGGUCCACCUGAUGGAGGCCAGUCGCUGCAGUUCAAAGCCAACACCGACUAUGUGGACUUCUACUGGACCACACGGAGGCCUUCAAACCGGACCAACAAGUUCAGCGACUCCCCGACUCGUGGGUCUGAGGACGCCGCCAAGCCUCGGUCCAGCCGGCCUCCUGUCUGGGUGUUUGAGUGCUGAGAGACUUGACCGUGAAUACCAUUGACACCCACCUGAGGGAGACGCUGUCUAAGAUCUCAAGGCUGCUUGGUCGUGGUCUUUCUGGUCCUGCUCCAGAACGCCUUCAUCAACUACGUCUUCUAUUAAAGAGGCCCUCAGAUGCUGCAAUCUCUGACCUUAAGGAGGAACUGCUACUUUCACUCUGUAACGAGACGGUGAUUAUUUUAAAGACCCAGCUCCUGGCGGCUUUGAGUGAAAAUUUAACAUCCAUCAAAACGGAACUACAGACAGUUAAAUCUGAGCUGUCAGUCAGUAUUUCAAACAUCAAGUCCGACCCGGCUGCCCUAAAGCACGCUGUGGGUGAAACGGAAACUUCACUCUCCACAUCACCGACGACAUCGUCACACUCCAAAGCAGAGCACCUGUCUGCUGAACUUUUAAAAGUGGACUAUAAAUGUGAACAAUGUGAGCAGCAGCAGACUGUGAGCAGCAGAACAGAUGUAAUCAGAAAGAAGUCAUUUUCUUUUUUCUUUUCUUUCUGGUUGACUUGAUGCUGUCAGAUGCAGAUGUUGGAGCUGAUUCUGAUCUUUCAGGAUAAAAAGCUGC